CUGGCGGCGUGCCUAAUACAUGCAAGUCGAACGGUCUUUCUAUGGAAGCUUGCUUCCACUGAGAAGAUAGUGGCGAACGGGUGAGUAACACGUGGGUAACCUGCCCAUAAGAGGGGGAUAACAUCCGGAAACGGGUGCUAAUACCGCAUAGUUUUUCUUGAUCGCAUGAUUGAGAAAGGAAAGAUGGCCUUUGUGCUGUCGCUUAUGGAUGGACCCGCGGCGUAUUAGUUAGUUGGUGAGGUAACGGCUCACCAAGACGAUGAUACGUAGCCGACCUGAGAGGGUGAUCGGCCACAUUGGGACUGAGACACGGCCCAAACUCCUACGGGAGGCAGCAGUAGGGAAUCUUCCGCAAUGGACGAAAGUCUGACGGAGCAACGCCGCGUGAGUGAAAGAAGGUUUUCGGAUCGUAAAACUCUGUUGUCAGAGAAGAACAAGUUGGAGAGUAACUGCUCCAGCCUUGACGGUAUCUGACCAGAAAGCCACGGCUAACUACGUGCCAGCCGCCGC
rnacentral:rRNA from 1 species